CUCAGCUGUUACACCUCUUUAGUCAUUUUUCGUCCAGAACAGUCCCCUCCCUUUGGCUCUUUUCCUUUCACCUCCUUCUUUUCCUUUCUUUUGUUUGUUUGACAUGGACUCGGCCGCUGUCUUACGGAAGCUCCCACGUCUGCGUCUCUGACAGUCUCCUCGCGGUGCAGCCCACCCUCCGUCCUCUGUGAGCGCCCAGAGGCGGAACAUCAGAUCCAUAGGGUCACCCGGACUCGGGUUGCACAGUUUGGGGGAGAAGACCUCCCAGGUGACGAGGUGUCCUUCCUAUUGGAUCUCAUCAAGAGGUGCGUGAUGUCAGCUUGUCCCGCACACAGUGACGCUGACCUGGAUCGGCAUUCGGGUGGGGACACCAGGCGCCCCCAGGUAACGGCAUCAUGCCCCUCUGCAGUUAGCGUCACCUGUGGAGGUACUUUCGCACCAUGUGUGUUCUGGUCCCUGACCACCUUUAGGUAGAUAGCUUUAGCUUCAUCGAUGGUCCUUGGCUGAGACAAGUAAUACGCCUGCAAGGUGGUAGCCUUCUAACCCUGCCAUUCCUUCAGCAUUUCUUAGCUGGGGUUUUCUGCAAAGGAAAGCUUUCUUUUUAUUUCCUCUUCUGAGAAAAACAUACAGAAAAUAACCAUGAAUAAUAUAUCAAAACUCAUAUUUCACCACUUAGAAUUAUGUUAAAAUGUUGGAAUACUUUCAAUUUUAUUUAUUUUUGUUGUUAUUGAGGAAGAUUCACUCUGAGCUAACAUCUAUUACCGUCUCCCUCUUUUUUUGCUUGAGGAAGAUUAGCCCUGAGCUAACAUCUGUGCCAAUCUUCCUCUAUUUUGCCUGUGGGUUGCCACCCCAACGUGGCUGGACAAGCGGUGUAGGUUCACACCUGGGAUCCGAACCCUUGAACCCAGGCCACCGAAGCAGAGUGCACUGGACUUUGGCCGCUACACCAUGGGGCCAGCCGUCCAAUUUUUUUUAAGAAGGAAAACAUUACAGUGAAAGCUCUGAAAUGGCCCCCACCCCCAUCUCCUCUCCUCACUGGGAGAAACCACCAGCAGAAAUGUGGCUCUUCGUUCCAGUGUCAUUUUUAUACUCUUAUAAGCGUGUGUUUAUCUAUGAACAAUACCACAUGUAGCACUGUUUUGCAUGAGUUAUUUUAAAUUUUUUUAUGUAAAUAGUAUUCCGUAUAUAUCAUUAUGCCUCUUCCUGUUUUCCCCCAACACUGCUGAGAUGGUAUGAAUUCGUAGACAGCUAGCCUGUCCCUUUGCGCUCUGUGGGCUUCCACACUCACUCCUCCUUCCCUCCUCUGUUGAGGGAUGCUGUUUCCACUUCCUUGCUGUUACGAGCAAUGCUGUUCUGGGCAGACCUGUGCACACCUCUUUGUGCAAAUAUCUGAGAGUCUCUCUCUAGUGGAUGUUCUCAAACCGGAUGUCUGAAUCGUGGGGUCUGCCCUUUCCUAGUUUCAGUAGGUAUUGGCAAAGUGGCCACACUAAUACUCACUCCCACUAGCAACAUGUGACUGUCCCCAGUGCCCCAUGUCUUGACUACGUGGGAAAGUAUCAGACUGUUCCAUUUAGUAUGAGACUUUUUGGCAGUCUAACAGGUGAGAAAUGGUACCUUGUUCCUUUAAUUUACAUUUCCCAAUUGUACACUAGUGAGGCUGCACACAGAACUUACUGGCGCUGGGAGCAGGAGCCACAACCUGAAGCCUUGCCGCCACUGGGAAGGAAGGCCCCUGAAGCCUCCCGAAGCCCCUCCAAAGCCAGGAGAGGUGCUACAUUAGCAACAAUCAGGUGGACAUCGUGGAGAGAGCGUAAUCAUUCUCAAUUCACAGUGUCUCUAUAUUUGUAUUAAUAAUAACACUUGUCACUUAUUACUGGCUUACCAAGUGCCAGGCACUUUAUAGACCUUAUUUCACCCUCUCGGGAAUUCAUUUAUUAUUAUUCCCACUUUCCUGAAGAGGAGAUUGAGGGUGAGGGAGGUACAGACACUUUCCUAAGGUCGUUGUAGAGCUGGUAAGUGCUCGGCCUGCCGUGCCCGCACCCGUUCCUCUGGACAGUGUUGCGUCCCCACACUCUGCACACGUGCCCAGGGAGCUCCCGGAGAGAAGACGAGACAGCUUCUCACAAAGGAGAGUCAGGUUCUGGCUUUCCCACCCCUCCCCUUGGCUAUGAGCAGAGGAAUUGUUUAUUUUCCCAAAGUGCAGCCUUGCAAAUAGCUCCCAGCCCACUGGCCCAGGUUUCUGGAUUGGGAGGCGGACACAGAAGGCAGCUGAAAGUGCUUCUCUCUCACUGCGGCUCAGCAAGGAGAGGUGCGUCGGAGAGCUCUUCAUCUCCUAGUGUUUGCAUUGCUGCGGCCAGGGUAGGUGGGGAAUGAACCAACGAGACUCCACGCUGGGGAACUUUUAUAUCUGAAGUGUAAGAGCAAAGGGCUCUCUCUCUCUCUCUGUCUCUCUUUCUGUUCCUGUCUCUCUCUGUCUCGGUCUCGGUCUCUGUCUCUCUCUCUUUGCCUCUCUGUCUCUGUCUCUCUGUCUGUCUCUGUCUCUGUCUCUCUUUCCAAGCCCUCUGUUAUACAUAUGGUGUUGGGCACGAAUAUUUCCAGACUUUUCCAUCGUCACCUGGACUCUGGAAGAGGAGUAUCUUACAGACUUCAGGUCUGGCCUACCCAUUUUGUAGAUGGGAAAGCUGAGGCAUUGAAACGUCUAGGCUCUGGGCUGCUUGAGGACACCAAGGUGUCGACUUGUCCCCAGAGCCCAGCAAGGCAUUCAGCACACAAUAUACAUUUCACUAAUAGACAUUGCAUGAGUCAAUGAAUGAAUGAGAAGUUUGGCAGUUAAAAACAAAUGAACAAAACCCUAAAGCUUUUGUUUUUUUUGGGUCCUACUGGGUGGAGGUGACCAAUUCGAGGAAGAAGAACCAAUGAACCGGGUCCUUCGUGAGAAGAUGGGGCCAGGCCCCACUGUGAGGUGCUCGGUGACUCAGUCAGCACUCCCAUCCACAGACCACUGACUCACUUACGUCCUGUGUGGGGAGAAGUACAAAGCCAGGAACAGAAUCUGGACAAGGCCCCAGACGGCCGGGCCCCACUGCCUCCCUGCUCUCCUUUCCCACCUUCCCGCUCACUCUGGGAGAUAUGCCAGACACAUCCCCACCUCAGGCCUUUGUCUCUGCUGUUCCCCCUGCCGGGAACCCUUAGCCACCGGCUCUUUGCUUGACUGAGCCUCAGCUCCAACAGCACCUCCUCAGAGAAACCUUCCCGACCACCGCAGCCGUCGCUGCCGCUGUGAUCCAGUUUAUUUCCUUCUGAGCGCUUACUUCUGCUCUGAACGAGCCAGCCUGUUCCUGCCCUCCUGCUGGGUCCUCUGCUGCCCCACCACAGUGUAAGCUCCAGGAGGCCCUGCUCCAGCUUGAUGUCACCAUGUCCUUGGUGCCUGGAGUUGCGUGCGGCAUGUGAAAAGCACCCAAUGCACAAGUGCUGUAUGAGUGAGAAAAGGGGCUGGAGCUGACUUCCGCACCAAGGCCUCUGGGCCCCCUUACAGAUUAGCCCUGAGCUAACUGCUGCCAAUCCUCCUCUUUUUGCUGAGGAAGACUGGCCCUGAGCCAACAUCCAUGCCCAUCUUCCUCUACUUUAUACAUGGGACGCCUACCACAGCAUGGCUUUUGCCAACCAGUGCCAUGUCCGCACCCGGGAUCUGAACCAGUGAACCCCAGGCCUCAGAGAAGCAGAACGUGCGAACUUAACCGCUGCACCACCAGGCCGGCCCCACUACUGAUCUUCUUAUUAUCUCCAUAGUUUUGCCUUUUCCAGAAUGUCAUAUAGUUGGAAUUAUAGUAUGUGGCCUUUUCAGACUGGCUUCUUUCACUUAGCAAUAGGCAUUUAAGAUUCCUCAUUGUCUUUUCGUGGCUCGAUAGCUCAUUUCUUUUUAGAGCUGAGUAGUAUUCCAUUCUGCAAGCAUACUAAAGUUUAUUUAUUUCUUCACCUACUGAAGGAUAUCUUGGUUGCUUCUAAGUUUUUGCAAUUAUGAAUAAAGCUCCUAUAAAUGUCCAAGUGCAGGUUUUUGUGUGGAUAUAAAUUUUCAACUCAUUUGGAUGAAUACCAAGGAGCAUGAUUGCUGGAUCACACAGUGACAGUAUAAUUUAGUUUUAUGAUCCCCUUUUCUAGAGUCCCAUUCAUUGCCAAAAUUCUCCAUCUUGUCUUUUAACUCACUGAACAUUUAAUCAUAGUUGUUUUAAAGUCCAUGUCAGAUAAUUCUAUUUUCUGGAUCCCCUUGAAUUUGGUUUUAUUGUUUGUGCGAUUUUUUUUCCCCCCAAUUUUUGGCCAAGUCUUGUUUUUUUGUAAACCUGGACAUUCAAUAUGAAAAAUUACAGAGAUAAUUUGAUCCCCUUACUUUUGCUUCUGGCAGGAAGCUCAGUGGAGACCACUGGAACAGUCCCAGAUUGCCUUAGUCACUGAGGACCUGAGCUGGCUUGCAGUCAGGAUUCAGUCCCUGGGAGGGCUGGUCUAUUUCUUGUUCUUAACAUGCAGCCUUCAGGAGCCCGGCCCAAAGUCUUGGAUGUUUCGUGAACCCCUCCUCCUUGGUAGGUUCCAGACUCCAAGCUCCAUGAGUCUGGUGAGAGCUCUGCUCAGCUUCCUAGCCUCUCAGAUGUCACUUUCAAGUCAGCCAUCACCUUGAGGGGGAAAGUAGCGUCUGUUGCCAGCUUUGCCUCCCUGGGCAUCCAUCCUUUCCUAGACCUCGGCCCCAUGAUUCUUGUAAUUUCUCAUUGCAUUGAUGGUACCUUCAGACAGAUGUGUUUUUCUUUCUAAUUUUAUCCAGUUUUCUAGUGUUCUCAGCAGGAGGAAUGGUCUGAAAUAAUCUACUCCACCAUUGCCGGAAGUCCUCCAAUUAUGUUUAGAGAAAAGUGAAUACUCCUUGUCCUGCCUACCAGCUUCCUGCCAUACCAUUCUCUCCCUUGCUUGCGACACUGUAGUGAAAUGUGGGGCUUUUUCCUAUAACUUGAAUAUGACAAGCUCCUUCAUGCCCCAGCACCUUUGCACCCACUUUCCCCUCUGUCUAGAAUGUUGUUUCCUUUACUUCAUUUUCCAGGCCUCUGUUUAAAUGUCAGUUCUUCUGAGAGGCCUUUCCUGACCUUGCAUUCUAACUCAUUCAGCUGUACACUCACACCCUGUUCCACGUGGCCGCUCUUGUAUACACCCUGCUCUUCCCUUCACACCACUUACCACAAUUUUUAAUUAUAUAUUGAUCUAUUAUCCUUUGUUGGUUGUCUGUCUUCCCACCACAGGGAAGUCCUGCGAGGCCAGGGUUGUCUGAGUUUGGGCUCCCUCACAGGCAGGCCCUGAGAUGAAGAUUAAGCACACGUUGUUUUUUGGGAAUUGCAGGUAAUAGGGAGGGAAGGCAGCCAAGAAGGGGUGCGAUUAUGCAGUGACCACGGUGGGCAGCGGAGCCAUCCUGCGAGAAAGCUGGGGAACAUGGCACAAAACUCAUGCCCAGGCGGGGGCUGGGCAUUUACACACCAGUUCCUGCCAGGCCUGCUGGUGGGGGCUGCUCCUGGGGUCCACAGAGUCCCUGGUGCUGCUGCCCUGCAGCUGGCACAGAGCCCCACAGAGGGGCGGCAGGCUCGGCCUGGAAGGCAUCUGGGCGCAGGGAAGCAGGAGGACCUGAGAGGGUCCACAGGGCCCUGCCAGGACGGCUUCUGUUCGGGGGACCAUUUUAUUCCCAGCCCCAGACACGGGGCCUGGCAGGCAGUAGGAAGUCAAUGAUGACAUGUUGAAUAAGUGCACUUUUAGAACUCCGUGCCAGGUUUAGAACCUAGCUCUCCAAACGGGCUCGCCAUGGUAUUAAAGAUAAUUGUCGGGACCCUGCUGCCGGCCAGGCGCCUUCGAGGGCAGGAAGGGGCUUUCCAUAAGAGCAGAGUAAUCAGAGGAGGGCGCCCCACAGCCUGGAGCCUGGUCUUUUUGAAGAACGAGACUGUGCACCCUGUGGAGAAGAAACGUCUCAGCGACAGUCCUCACGUGCCCCGGGCCAUCCUAGGGGUCAUCCCGCAUAGACUGCACGGGCGAGAAGGCCCCGGUGGAUGGUGCUCUGCCAGCUUGGAGGAGAGCUUCCGCACUCUGCACUGCUCAGAGGCGGCCCCAGCUGAGGCGGGAGCUCCCUGCCACUGCUCCUCCAGGAGAAAACUAGGUCCCGGCCCUCAGAGCGCCUGCUGCCUGGUUGAGAGGACAAGACGUCCCUCUGCGUAGCGCUGGACGAGAAGGACAGGCCCGCACACAACAGCUUGAGGCGAAAACACUCAGACUCGGUUUCUGGUUCCCAGAGUGCACGCUGGGCCGCCAGGCGGAGGAGGCGCUGAGGCAGGAGUCAGUGGUUCUGUUGAUUCAUCUGUAUGAUCUUAGUGCUGUGUUUCAAAGGGCCCGCUCGGUCCAGUGCUGGAUGGGGCCUGCUUGUACAAGGCGCCCUUGUUGGGUUUCAGAGCACCUGACACCUGGAUUGAGAUGCUGACAAGCCCAGGAAGGGGCUGGAAGGAAAGUGGGGCCACCCCUGGGAAACACACCGGGGUCUCCGAUAGCUUUGUCCUGUGUCUCCCACUGUGUUUUGUUUUAUAUGUCGACUUGGCUGGGCUACAGAACCCAGAUGUUUGGUUCAAUACUAGUCCAGAUGCUGCCGUGAAGGUGUUUUUAUGUAAGAUUAACAGUCAAAUCAGUAGACUUUGAGGAAAGCAGAUGAUCCUCCCUAGUGUGGUGGGCCUCAUCGAAUCAGUUGGAGGCCUUAAGAGAAAAUGACUGCGACUCCUGAUGGCCUCUGGACUCCAGCUGUAACAUCGCCUCUUCCCUGGGUCUCCAGCCCGCCAGCCUGCCCUACAGAUCUUGGACUUGCCAGACCCCACAGCUGCAUGAGCCAACUCCUUAAAAUAAAUCAACCUUUCUCUCUCAGAAUAUUGGUUGUUUCUCUGGAGAACGCUUGGCCUGUAUUCAGCACACGUAAUCAUAAUGACAGCACUCCAAUCCUUGUCUGCAGCCGGGCUUCCCCUCUGCACCCAGCCUUGGGUACCCAUUAUCCUCCUCUGUGCCUCCUCUUGGCCUCCUCACAGGCAUCUCAGACUUACCGCAGCCACAGUGAGCUCCUUGGCCUGCCACCUGGCUGUGCCCGUCUCAUAACCAGCAGCCCCACACGUCGAGCUGCCCAGGCCGCAAACCCUCAGAGUUGCCCUCGGCUUCUCUCCCCUUCUUUCUCCGCGUCUCCCCACUUCAAACAACCCAGCAGCAAACCCUGCUGGCUUUGCUUUCAAAACGCUCCCGGCAUCCUCUGACCUCCUCUAGCCACCGUCACACCUGCUUCAAGCCACGCUCACCUCGCCGCUGGAUCAUGGCGACACACUUCUCCAGGGCCUGUGGGGUGCCCCCAUAGCCGUCCUUGCUCCGUGGCUGGUAGGGAGGCGUCCUGUGAGCACUGCUGCAUCUCGUCCUCUGGUGCUGAAGCUCUCCCCCGGGCACUGGCUUUGCUCGGGGCCACGCUGUGCGCUCACCAGCACACGGACCCCCAUAACCUAGACUCCUCCCGCCCACCGCCCCUUGCUCACUCUUUUCCACUCACACUGGCUCUUUGCUCUUCCUGAAACAGGCCAGGCGUGCGCCUCCCUCAGGCCCCAGCAUCGGCCCCUCCCUCCCCUGGAGUGCCCUUUGUCCAGCAUCAGCCUCAAUUCCCUCCCUUGCCCUUUGCCCAAAUGCCCCCUUCUUGGUGAUUCUUUCUUGACUUCCUCUUUAAAACUACAUUCCCCUCACCCCCACUCCACAGUCCCCCUGGUACCCCAGGUCCCUGGGUCCCCUGGGUCUGGACUAAUGCCCUUCCUGCCCAGCCCCAUGCAUUCAGGAGCAGCGUGAGCCGCCUCAGGCCGAGGCUCGCAGCUGGACAAAUCUCUGAGGCCCCACAGCCAAAACCUAGUUUCUUUUGUUAAUUAAAGUUUCAGAUAUUCACUAAGACACGACUCACACGCACUUAAGUGUGCAGCUCAGAGGACUGUCACAGACUGAGUGCACCAGCCCCAGAGCAGGGACGAGGACACGCCCAGCCCCCCAGCCUCUGCCCUCCCAAUGUAGCCACUGUCCUGACAUCCAGACCCCUGGCCCGCCUGGGGCGGCACCACACCCACAGGGAACGGUAACACCUCCGCUUUUAAACGAACUUGUAAUUUUGGAAUGAUUUUAGAUUUACAGAAGAAUUGACAAGCUGCCAUGGGGAGUUCUCCUAUAGCCUCCGUCCAGCUUUCCCUAACAUGGACACCUCACAGACCGCGGUGCACUCGUCAGAACUGAGAUGGCGACACCGGUGCGACACUGUUGGCUAAAUCAUCAAGUUAACUACUAACUACUGCUGUUAGGGGAAUGAUAAAGACUGCCGUCUCUACUUGAUUUCACGGUUUGUCCCUGAACUCCUGUGUCUGUUCCAGGAGCCCACACUCUGCAUGGACUUGUCCUGUCUCCUCAGUCUCCUCUGGCUCGUGGCAGGUUUCUCUGUCUUUCCUUGUUUUCCCGACUGGGACAGUACCCAGGAGCACCAGGGAGGAGCCAACAGGGUAAAUUUCAGAGCCCACCGGGAGCACAUCUAUCGAGGACAUGGGUGACGGGCUGGGAAGGGGCCCGGAGGAGGGGACCAGGUGGGAGGGCACUUCUGCAGAGAGCCGUCCGUGCCAUGGCCUCCCCUCCCCCGGGUCUGCUCCUGGUGCCUGGCGCUGCCCCAUCCCUCAGGAGGAACCCAGAGAGCGCUGCUGUGUGGGUGACACCAUCAACAGUGAGCGUGUUAGAAAUUCAGACUGAGUUAACGACCUGUCUAUUGGCUGAUUGGUUUUAAAAUAACACUAAUAAACCCACUACUUGUUAGGAUAAAUAAGACAUCGUCGUGAGAAAUUCGUUAUGUACUGAAAGGAAGUCAGUGAGAAGAGCGGUACUGUGGUCCGUUGUCACAGGUCUCUGCGGGUCCGGCUUGAGAGGGACAAGGGAAGACGACCCCACACCUGCCCGCGGCCAGUCUGUGGCGACGUGCUGCUUGGUGCAAGUAUUGCAGAAAAUCCACCUGGCACGGAUCUGUGGCUGGGAGGGCUGGCCCUGGCAGUGCCUGGAGAGGCUCAGGGUCCCGCGGGGCCCCCAGGGCACACUUUGAACUGGCUCCUGGGUGGGUGGCUGAGGUGGGGCCCGGCCUGCCCAGGUUUGUCCAUGGGGCUCCCAGUGGGACUCAGAGCCCUCGGCAGAGAGCCCCCCCUCUCACCCCACUUCUGCUGCCGCCAGAAAGGGACCCCCCCCCCAACUAUGAGCCUCGGUUUCCUCCUCUGUCAAAUGGGGUCACUACAGCACCUACAUCUCAGGCUGCUGUGAGGACAGCUUGAGAUGAAGCAGGUUGGCCGCCCGGUGCCUGGCUCCUCG
ensembl:lncRNA